UUCUAGUGCCAAGGUAAGGGCAUGUGAAAGCUACUCGUUGGCCAAAGGAUUAGUAUGUGUAUUUGCAUCUGAUAGCAGGAUACUAGCUAAUGCUGUAUGCGACUACUAGCACAAUUACUUCUUAGCAAAAAUCAUUACCUAAAUUAUUUGUAGAAUGCUCUGCUAGUACUGAUGACCAAUAAGCAAAGAGAUGAAAUCUUAAGUCUGAGAUCGUAAACUGAAACAAGGUUGCUGUGUAUAUAACUUCACCUUAAGCUUGCUGGUGUUUAACUGGAGAAUACUUAGAGCUACUAAAAUUGUGAUUCCAGUUAAAAUGUUUCAUAUUGGUUUACUUCAUUUAAAUUAGUAAGUCAGAUCUUAGAGCAAUAACGUUUUCUCUGACUGAUAAUUGCAUUUUUGGGUAACAAUGUCUUAUUCCUAUUCACGGAUUGCAGUGAGGGAAUGGACUAAUGUACAAAUGGUUUUGGAGGAGGGAAGUGCUGUUCUGGGUUUGCUGUUACCGACAAAGGGAAGCAACGCCUUCUAUAGGCUUAGGUUAGGUGAUUUAAAGGGUGAAGUGGCAGUUAGAAGAGAAGAGAAGCCUCGCAGAGAAGAAAUAAUCAUGGCUAGCCAAAUGUGCUGCCACAACACUCUCAUCAAAACUGAGAGGUGGUGAAAAAGAAUUAUUUGCUUCCUUAGUUGCUGCUGCUGGUUCAUACUCUUGAUGAAACCUAUCUUUUAUUGUUUCUGGUCCAUUUUGUUGUCUUUGAUCCUGCAAUGUUAUACUUCUAGUUCUGAUACAUGGAAAAAAUUGUAUGUGAUCCAUUAUUCUGGUGUGGUGAUGCUGGGAUGCUAUUGAUAUGAGGUUAUAAUUUGGGUUGUAAUUGAUUAUUGUGACUUCUGGGCUGGAAUUGUUGUUUUGGUAAAUGGGUUGUGUGAAAGCUGAA